CCAAUCCCACAGGGCGGGGGACGGGGCCAGCGUCGCUAGGCAACAACAGAGACUAUCAGCUGGUUGCAGCUGAUCAUCUUUCAGAGGCGGACGACGACUACGAAGAUUUCUCCUCUUCCGUCACAGACGUGACCAACCUGUGUUCACCUGGUGGCAUCGGGUUUAAUUGUCGUAUCCAGAAGCCCCGAGGACCCAGAGAUCCUCCUGCUGAGUGGAGCCGACUGGAGAGAUGAAACAUUGAACUGGUUCAACUGGUUCACUGUUAGACUGGAUGAGUUCAUUAAAGUUAUUUUAGUUGAACUGCAGCGAGCUCGACUGUGAGGCUGAAAUCUGUUCAUAUUUAUGAGCAGUGUGUUCAAAAUCUGAGCUCACUGUGUAAAUUAUUAUAACAUGUGUGUGAACAGAUUUAACCUCUGAACAACAGACUGGACUUUAUUUAAAGCACAGAGGUUUUAUCUGUUGGACCAGAGUUCCCAGUUCACACAGAACUGAACAGUAAAAAUAAUAAAAUGUUUUUUUCUUUAAUAAUUGACUAUAAAGGGAAAAUCUGGUGUGUUUUAACGUGUGUGUUGUUGGGAUUAUUUCUUGUUAUAUUUUUGCCCUUAAGAAAUGUGACUCAACUUAUUAUAAUA